rnacentral:tRNA from 1 species
GGGCGUGUAGCACAUUGGUAGAGCGUCCGCUUUGCAUACGGAAGAUCCAGGGUUGGAAUCCCUGCUCGUCCA